rnacentral:tRNA from 1 species
GCCUUCAUGGUGUAAUGGUUAGCACGCUCGCCACGUAUUCGAGAGGUCCGAGGUUCGAGUCUCGCCGAGGGCA